UACGUAGGGACCGAGCGUUGUCCGGAAUCAUUGGGCGUAAAGAGCGUGUAGGCGGCCUGUUAAGUCUUGCGUGAAAUCUCGGGGCUCAACCCCGAGCGGUCGUGAGAAACUGGCAGGCUAGAGUGCGGGAGAGGAGAGUGGAAUUCCUGGUGUAGCGGUGAAAUGCGCAGAUAUCAGGAAGAACACCGGUGGCGAAGGCGGCGACCUGGGUAGAUACUGACGCUGAGGUGCGAAAGCGUGGGGAGCAAACAGG
rnacentral:rRNA from 1 species